UACAGAGGUCUCAAGCGUUGUUCGGAUUCAUUGGGCGUAAAGGGUGCGUAGCGGCGCGGUAAGUCGGGUGUGAAAUCUUGGAGCUUAACUCCGAAACUGCAUUCGAUACUGCCGUGCUUGAGGACUGGAGAGGAGACUGGAAUUUACGGUGUAGCGGUGAAAUGCGUAGAUAUCGUAAGGAAGACCAGUGGCGAAGGCGGGUCUCUGGGCAUUAACUGACGCUGAGGAGCGAAAGCAUGGGGAGCGAACAGG
rnacentral:rRNA from 1 species